rnacentral:lncRNA from 1 species
GAGCUCUCCUGUGCAGAGUAGGGUUUGAACGGUGUCCCUGGCCACAACCCACUGGUUGCCAAUGGAACCCCCCAGUUUUGACAACCAAAAAUGUUUCCAGACAUGACAGAUGUCCCCUGGGGUAAGGUUGCAAGACAAAAUGCAGGUUUCCCAGAUACAUUUGAAUUUCAGUUAAGCGGCUCAUAACUUCUGUAGUCUAAUUAUGUCCGAAAGAUUGCAUUUUUAUUUGCUAAAUCCAGAAACCCUACACAACCACCUCAGCUGAGAGCCACUGCCCCACGAGUGCGUGAUGCCUGCAGGAGGCUAAGCCACCAGAUGGAAAAGGUGCGGCGGGAACACAGUGGCCUGGCCUGGUCGAGGCAGGGUGCUGUCUGGGGGCAGGCCCAGCAAUGGAAGAGGAAACAGACGUGUAUAAAGUACCUCGAUGUGCCACAUAUCGUGCCGGGGCUUUGAUGUUACUUUCGCUGUGUUUUACAGGAAUCACCCAGAAGAUACAACGUAUCCAGUAGUUGUAGGACGCAGAGCAGGAACCCACUCUAGCCUCAGCCAAAACAAGGAAUUGGCUGAAGGAUGUUGGCUGGCUUGUGUAUUUUCCAGAAG